rnacentral:rRNA from 1 species
UUAUACGGCGAAACUGCGAAUGGCUCAUUAAAUCAGUUAUCGUUUAUUUGAUAGUACCUUACUACUUGGAUAACCGUGGUAAUUCUAGAGCUAAUACAUGCUUAAAACCCCGACUCACGAAGGGGUGUAUUUAUUAGAUUAAAAACCAAUGCCCUUCGGGGCUCUUUGGUGAUUCAUAAUAACUUUUCGAAUCGCAUGGCCUUGCGCCGGCGAUGGUUCAUUCAAAUUUCUGCCCUAUCAACUUUCGAUGGCAGGGUCUUGGCCUGCCAUGGUGACAACGGGUAACGGAGGGUUAGGGCUCGACCCCGGAGAAGGAGCCUGAGAAACGGCUACUACAUCCAAGGAAGGCAGCAGGCGCGCAAAUUACCCAAUCCCGACUCGGGGAGGUAGUGACAAUAAAUACUGAUACAGGGCUCUUUUGGGUCUUGUAAUUGGAAUGAGUACAAUUUAAAUCCCUUAACGAGGAACAAUUGGAGGGCAAGUCUGGUGCCAGCAGCCGCGGUAAUUCCAGCUCCAAUAGCGUAUAUUAAAGUUGUUGCAGUUAAAAAGCUCGUAGUUGAACCUUGGGCCUGGCUGGCCGGUCCGCCUCACCGCGUGCACUGGUUCGGCCGGGCCUUUCCCUCUGGGGAACCGCAUGCCCUUCACUGGGUGUGUCGGGGAACCAGGACUUUUACUGUGAAAAAAUUAGAGUGUUCAAAGCAGGCCUAUGCUCGAAUACAUUAGCAUGGAAUAAUAGAAUAGGACGUGUGGUUCUAUUUUGUUGGUUUCUAGGACCGCCGUAAUGAUUAAUAGGGACAGUCGGGGGCAUCAGUAUUCAAUUGUCAGAGGUGAAAUUCUUGGAUUUAUUGAAGACUAACUACUGCGAAAGCAUUUGCCAAGGAUGUUUUCAUUAAUCAGGAACGAAAGUUAGGGGAUCGAAGACGAUCAGAUACCGUCGUAGUCUUAACCAUAAACUAUGCCGACUAGGGAUCGGGCGAUGUUAUUAUUUGACUCGCUCGGCACCUUACGAGAAAUCAAAGUCUUU